rnacentral:pre_miRNA from 1 species
GUAUUCCCCAGUUACCGUCUUUGGUGGUCCCUGAGAAUGCUCUGACUGCUUUCGAAGUAAACGUAGCAGUCGAGUAUCCUUAGGAACCAGUGAAUUACGGUUCUUUUUUGAAUACC